AGCAGCCGCGGUAAUUCCAGCUCCAAUAGCGUAUAUUAAAGUUGCUACAGUUAAAAAGCUCGUAGUUGAAUUUCGGGAUCAAUAUUUCGGUCAUGCCGUUGGUAUGCACUGUUAUCAUUGAUUUCUCACCUUCUAAAGAACCGUAAUGCCAUUAAUUUGGUGUUACGGGGAAUUAGGACUGUUACCUUAGAAAAAUUAGAGUGUUUAGAGCAGGCUCACGCUUGAAUACAUUAGCAUGGAAUAACGGAAUAGGACGUUUGAUUCUAUUUUGUUGGUUUCUAGGAUCGACGUAAUGAUUAAUAGGGAUAGUUGGGGGCAUUAGUAUUCAAUUGUCAGAGGUGAAAUUCUUGGAUUUAUUGAAGACUAACUACUGCGAAAGCAUUUGCCAAGGAUGUUUUCAUUAAUCAAGAACGAAAG
rnacentral:rRNA from 1 species